rnacentral:lncRNA from 1 species
GGGUAAUACAUUUAGAAAGUCGGGGGCCAAAAAAUUACCAAAUACAUGCAAGAAUUAUAUUUCAGUUUUCAGACAAAAGCUUGUGUUAAAGUGUAUGGAUCGCAUUGAAAUUGUAAUACAAGAUAUCAUACCUUAAAGGAGUAGGCUGAAAUUUACUUAAGGGUAAUUUCUUCAAAGGGGGGAGGUAAACAAAAAGGAGGGGAGGUCAUUUUUUUUUUAUUCUACAUUUGUUUGUGUUUUAUGUGUAAUUUUGACUGUUUUAUUUUAUCAGAGUGAGCAUUGGGACAAAUUGCGCUAGAGGCUGUAUCUAAUUCGGAAUAUUCUCAUUGCACAAAAACUUUACGAAUAGGUAUAGGAAGAUGUGGUGUGAGUGCCAAUGCGACAGCUCU